rnacentral:rRNA from 1 species
GACCGGAGCACGGGUGCGUAACGCGUAUGCAAUCUACCUUUAUACUAGGGGAUAGCCCAGAGAAAUUUGGAUUAAUACCUUAUGGUUAAUAAAAAAGGCAUCUUUUUAAUUAUAAAGAUUUAUUGGUAUAAGAUGAGCAUGCGUCCCAUUAGUUAGUUGGUAAGGUAACGGCUUACCAAGACGAUGAUGGGUAGGGGUCCUGAGAGGGAGAUCCCCCACACUGGUACUGAGACACGGACCAGACUCCUACGGGAGGCAGCAGUGAGGAAUAUUGGUCAAUGGAGGCAACUCUGAACCAGCCAUGCCGCGUGCAGGAUGAAGCAUCUAUGGUGUGUAAACUGCUUUUGUACGGGAAGAAAAAAAGCUACGUGUAGCUUACUGACGGUACCGUAAGAAUAAGGAUCGGCUAACUCCGUGCCAGCAGCCGCGGUAAUACGGAGGAUCCAAGCGUUAUCCGGAAUCAUUGGGUUUAAAGGGUCCGUAGGCGGCUUAAUAAGUCAGCGGUGAAAGUUUUUGGCUUAACCAAAAAAUUGCCAUUGAUACUGUUAGGCUUGAAUUAUUGUGAAGUAACUAGAAUAUGUAGUGUAGCGGUGAAAUGCUUAGAUAUUACAUGGAAUACCAAUUGCGAAGGCAGGUUACUAACAAUAUAUUGACGCUGAUGGACGAAAGCGUGGGUAGCGAACAGGAUUAGAUACCCUGGUAGUCCACGCCGUAAACGAUGGAUACUAGCUGUUUGGAAGCAAUUCUGAGGGC